rnacentral:lncRNA from 1 species
GAUGGUGGUGAUGGUGAUGGUGGUGAUGGUGAUGAUGGUGAUGAUGAUGGUGAUGGUGGUGAUGGUGAUGAUGGUGAUGAUGAUGGUGGUGAUGGUGAGGAUGGUGAUGAUGGUGAUGGUGGUGAUGGUAGUGAUGGUGGUGAUGGUGAUGAUGGUGGUGAUGGUGAUGAUGGUGGUGGUGGUGAUGGUGAUGGUGGUGGUGGUGAUGGUGGUGGUGGUGAUGGUGGUGGUGGUGGUGUGAAGUGCACUUUGCAGUGUUACUCUGUCAGUUCAUAAGUACAUGUGGUGUCCAUUCUGAGACCCAGGGAGUGGUGAAUUCUGCACUUGUCACUUGCUGGCAUCCUAGGGUACCACCGGCUAGGUGACUAACAGGAAGGCUGUGGCACAUUCAGGGUGUUGGCAGUGCACACUCCCUCAGCAUCUCGUCUGGUCCCCAUGGGCCUAGCAACCCUGCUGGACUUGUUCAUUGAGCCAGAGCAGCUGAGUGAGUUGUCCAGGCUGCUCCAGUCUGGUGCUGUCUCCUGGGAAACUGGCUCUUUCCAGAGCAGAGUCAUUCUAUCAGCCCGGGAAGUCCCUGAAUUAAAGAUGUGGAAAUUUGGGAACUGUGGAGGUGGAAAUGAGCAAACCAAAGCAGAAAGAGGCAAACAAGGAAAACCUUGGCGGAAUGGGAGCUAAGCUAUCCUGUGUCGAGAGAGAGAGAGAGCGCGGGAGAGGGAGAGAGAGAGAGAGGGAGAGAGAGACAGAGAUUUGGGGAUGGACUGAGACACUGAGACAUGGACGUGGCACGAUGACAAUGGAGAUGGCGGCCCCUUUGUGCCCCCUAAGAGGAUCUGAAUGUGGAUAAGCGUGUUGGCCAUGGGGCCGGAAGUGUUGCCUUUAACCUGCUGUCUUUCUCCUUAUUAAUUAUAUAAUUUUGGACAAAUAGCAUCCACCCCUCUGUGCCGAGUUUUCUGGUGUGCACAGGAUGAGAACAACCGUGUCUGUGCGUUGAUUGUCCUAUGGUACCUUUGUGCAGGGGGAUUGUGGGUACUUCAUCCCCGCCCCAAGGCAGAUAACUUUGUGAAGAGAAAAGGUUUCCUUAGUUUACAGUUUGAGAAGUUCAAAACCCAGGUGUCAGCACCGUGGGUGUGGCAUCUGGAGAGAAUGGCAAGUGAUGGCACGUCACAACCGGAACUCGUGUAGUAGCAAGCAGGCCUUUCUGGAGAGAAAUGGCAUGUGUUAGACCAGGUUUGCUUUCUAAUAACAGCCUUCUUCUGAGGGGUCCCAGGAUAAUAACCACAGUCACAUGAGAACUCCACACACGGCCCUCCCCACCAACGACCUAAGAAGCUCCUAAAAUGUCUCACCUCUAGGAGACCCCACUGCCCCCAAACAAGGCCAUUCUGGAGAUAGCCCUUGAGGGAUUAGCGUAAGUGGCUGGAGCCUGCAUCUCUUCAGGAGUUUAAGGAGUUAAGAGUUGCAGUCUUGGCUCUGCCUUUUGCUUUUGGAUUCGCUUUGAGUUUUGGAAUACUUAUCUCCUCCAAACCUCAUCUGUUUCACCUGCAAAAUGCAAAAGUAUCAGUCUGUAGGGAGGGUGUGAGGGUCACGUGAUCAGUGUUUAACACCGACUCUUGGGACAGGACUUGAUUUGCAGCAUCUGCUCGCUCAUUCCCACGGUGCAAAUGCUCCCACUGCAGCUGACUUCAGGGUAGCAUUGCAGUGUCUCUGAAGGUGGAGUCAGAAGAAACGGGCAUCGUUAUCUUCCAUCCCCACAGCACGGAAUCAAGACAUUACCUGAGCCUAGAUAACAGUUAAGGGCAGUGAAGUAAUUAGGAACUGAAGGGCUCUUAUUGCAUUUGUUUUUUAAUGUAAUUUGUUUAAUUGUGAGCUUACAUAAUAUAGUUUUUAAUAACUGCUGUUCAUAACCGGCUUGCAAAGUUCUUGAAAAUUUAAUAAUCAGCUCUGGCAAGCUGGUCCAAGCUGGCUUCACAUACUGUUGAAUGUGCUAAAGCUCCAGCGAGGCCUAGAGAGGACACGGCAAGUACGCAGUGCUCCAUCAUCGGGAGCCUAUGCAGUUGUUGUUAUGUGUUUUAUUAUGCAAUCUCUGAUGACAGUAGGGGGAAAAAACAGGCCGUGGAAAAAAAAUCUGUAGUAGUUGCCUUUUCCACUCCUGCAUCAAAAGACUCAACAGAGCAAGUUUGGGCAGAGAGAUUUCUUUGGGCUGACAGUUUCAGAUGUUAGUGUUAGUGCCUGAUGGAGGUGUUGUUAGUACUCAAUGGUGUGUGGUCCUGAUGGAGGUGUUAGUACUCAGUGGUGUGUGGUCCUGAUGGAGGUGUUAGUACUCAGUGGUGUGUGGUCCUGAUGGAGAUGUUAGUACUCAGUGGUGUGUGGUCCUGAUGGAGGUGUUGUUAGUACUCAGUGGUGUGUGGUCCUGAUGGAGGUGUUAGUACUCAGUGGUGUGUGGUCCUGAUGGAGGUGUUAGUACUCAGUGGUGUGUGGUCCUGAUGGAGGUGUUAGUACUCAGUGGUGUGUGGUCCUGAUGGAGAUGUUAGUACUCAGUGGUGUGUGGUCCUGAUGGAGAUGUUAGUACUCAGUGGUGUUGUGGUCCUGAUGGAGGUGUUAGUACUCAGUGGUGUGUGGUCCUGAUGGAGAUGGGCCGGUGGCAGAGGCUCCUCCUAUCUUGGGGAUAAGGAGCUAGCAUUGGGACUGGAAGCAGGGAUAGCUGCAGCCUUCAAUACCCAUCUCUAGUGAGGAGUCUACUUCUCAAGGCCAGGACACAUCAUCUCAAGGUCCUAACACCUCCCCACAAAUAUCACCCUGGCUGGGGACCAGGUCUUCAAAAUAAGAGCUUUUGAAGGACAUUUCCAACUCAAAGCAUAUCAACUUAAAGGCACCUCUUAUGAAGUUAAGAUCAUUCUGUUGAGUUAAGGAACAUGAGCUGGGGGUGAACAGUGACUGCAACAUGGUUUGUUUGUGAUAUUACUGCCCUGGGUACAAAUUCAGAACUCAGGCCCCAAAAUAAAAAUAAAAGGGGGUUAAAAAGCUUAUAAAACUGAUUUCGCUGGCAGUGAGAUAUAUAUGGAUCUCACUAGGCCAGGAGGUGGUGGCACACACCUUUAAUCCCAGCACUCAGGAAGCAGAGGCAGGUGGAUCUUUGAGUUUGAGGUCAGCUAUAUAGUGAGUUCUAGGACAGGCAGAGUUUACACAGAGAAACCCUGUCUAGAAAACAACAACAACAACCCCCCUAUCCUCCUACCCAGUAGCAAUGCAGAUCAAAGAAAUAGGGUAUCAGGGUAUAAUCAGGAAAUAGGAUCUUAUAUGGAGGACAGUGAUAAUCCAUUUGUUUUUGGUUGUGAGCCUAGCCUUUAACGGCCGAGCCAUCUCUCCAGCCCAGAUAAUCCGUUUGUUAAACCCAGUACACCUACACAGGGACAUCCAAUACGUUAUAAGGAUACCUGCAUGUGAUAUCUAUAUCUCUCAUGGCCCAGGAAGGAAAGGAUGAGCAUAAAAUUGCAUACCUGUAAAAUUAAUUAAAAAAGAAGACUAACUACAAAGCUGUGAGCAGGGCUAGGCAGAGCCCUUGAUGGUGGGAGGAAGUAGCCUAGACCUACAACAGUCAUGUGACCUACCUGGCUGGAAGAGAAGGGGCAACGGGAUUCAAAGGAAGCCAUCUAGAGAGGAUAAGGGAACCACAGCUGCCCUUCAGAGGGCUUAUGGCCCACCAAUGAGGGAUACAGGAGGUGGCAUUCUUGCUUCUCUUUCUACCACCCCCGAAUCUCCGGAUGAUGCUAAACCCAAUAAGAAGGCAGAGGGCCGUCUUGCUCUUUGAUGUACACACGCCCUACCGGUAAGCUCCCUGGGACCCAGAACUGGGUAAAGACAGACAGAGGGAUUGGAGGAUUAACAAGAACAUCCAAGGAAGUACUCCAUGGUAUAAAUCAGACAGGCUGUGAGGGCUGUGACUCCAGGAGAAGAAAGGGAUUGAGCUUUUGAGGUGUAAAGGAACAUACUGAAGCAUGGUCUUUGUAUUAAUGUCUGAUAAUUGUGACUUGAAGGUAGGCAUGAUUUGAGUGUAAUGAACUCAACUGGGAAAGCAUCAACCAUGCUGAAGAAACUUCUGGAAAAUGACCUUGCACCCCUGUGCCAUUUGUGUUACACCCCAGGCCUUCACAGAUGAACUCAGCUGGAGAGAGAACUGACUCUUGGUUGGAGGCUUGGCUGCCCAUGGCCUGGGAUGAGAAACACAAAGCGGAAAUGUGGAGGAAGGGGAGACACCAGCCUGGGUCUCCAUCGUGUUCCUGAAAGUCCGUCUUCUUCAAAGAAGAAAAAAGGAAAACAUGUAUGCAAGAAUUUUCAAUGUUCAUGAUUCAGAACCAUCAGGAAAAAACCCAAGUGGGUAUCUUCAGCGUUAUUGAAGAUCAGUGUUGUGAGCUGACUUAUGGAUCCUCAAAAGAGAUCGUUGAACAUAGUAGACGCUCAGUAAAUUGUUGAAAUAAAACUUGCUAAACAAAAGCCCAGAUCCCACUGCCAGAGCUGCACACACCCGCUCUAGGCUUCACUUAAACUCGUAUUUUUCUGAUUUGUGAAGGAGGGUAGCUGCAAAGUGGGCAGAUCGAAACCACACUCAGACCGUCCGUCAUUGUGAAGACAGAAUGAGAUUCCAAAUGGGGAAAAUAAGUCUAUCGCCAUCUAAACAUGAGUUAGGGCUCUUGUGAGCAGAUGACAGAGAGGCCACCAGACUCUAGCUCUCCGAGACACCUGGCACAUUGUCCUUUACCAUUUCACUUGCAAAAUCAAUUCAAAUUGGCUUCAGUACAGGCAGUCCCUCAUGAGCUGACAGUCAGCCAAAAGGCGCUGAACAAAGAGCUGUAGUGAUUGUUAGCAGCUCAAACAACAAAGGCCAUGUUUACGGGAGAUGCUGGUUACAGGAGCAACCUAGGAGGAGGUCUCUGAUGAGCCAGUUUUAAGGCCUAGCAAGAAUUCUAGCAAUGUUUUCCAGGGAAACAUUUACAAAUUGGAGGUUUAAAGGGCUGAGGAACUUCAGUUGUUCGAUGGAUG